rnacentral:rRNA from 1 species
UACAGAGGUCCCAAGCGUUGUUCGGAUUCAUUGGGCGUAAAGGGUGCGUAGGUGGCGCCAUAAGUCAGGUGUGAAAUCUCGGGGCUCAACUCCGAAACUGCACUUGAUACUGUGGUGCUCGAGUACUGGAGAGGAGAUUGGAAUUUACGGUGUAGCAGUGAAAUGCGUAGAUAUCGAUAAGGAAGACCAGUGGCGAAGGCGAAUCUCUGGACAGUUACUGACACUGAGGCACGAAGGCCAGGGGAGCAAACGGG